ensembl:lncRNA
CUAGAGAACCCUGAAUUCUAACUCAGGCAAAAUCGUUCUUUGAGGGCACAAGUCCAGUAUCUUCUAAGUUUGCUAACUUUCCGAAUAAAGUGUUAGUCCUUGCUUGCUAGACCUUGCCACAGCAACUUAUCUCUCGAUUUACUGGCCUGCUGUGUGGCAAGCAGUAAGAGCUUGGAUUUGGUAACAAGUUUUGGUGAGCCGUCCAGGGACCUUUCUGCUCGUGGCCAACUGACCUCAGUUGGAGAAUUCUGGGGUAAGUUCCUAGCAGUUUCAGGGACCACUUGUCUUGAGGAUCUUCCCUUCAGAAUUCACCAAAGUGACACUGGCUGCCCCAGCACUUCGCAGUUGGAGCAAAGAAUCCUUUGGACUCCGACAGGUUCCAUCCAGUAGGAUCCCUGGAAAGGACAGGCUUGGAGUGGUGGUGAGGGUGUAGGUUGAAAGUUCAAAGGCUACUGAGGUUACAGUGAGUAGCAAAGCAGAGUACCUCCACUUCAAUUACAAAGUUCAAGAAGGCAAGAAACCCCCUGAAGACGGAAUUGAAACAGCAGAUGCCUCAGAGCUCUGACUGCUGACAAUGCUGAAAACAUGAAGAGACUCCGUUUUCUGUCUGGAUUGUUAUGGAGCAGACACUCUCGGUUUAUACCCUCCAGGGGAGAUGGAGAGAUGCUUUCUGUAAAUAAGAAUGAGUGACUUGAAGGUGAUCUGUUUAAAUAGUCAGCUUGGGUUGUCCUUACCUCUCAGGAAAACAAGCAGCCCCAUACAGCUGAAUGUCUUUUGGUGUUAUUAAGGAGAAUGACACCAGGGCUGUGAAGUUAGUCACUGACUUUACAUCUAUAUGUACCUGUUUUAUCUUGUUUUGCAAAUACUGUUUGGCUUCUUGUUUGUUGUUUGUUUUUUAAUAAAUCGAAGAUCUGUGGCAACCCUGCAUCAAGCCAGUAAUUUUUCUAGCAGCAUUUGCUUCCUUCCUGACUUUGUCACAUUUUGGUAAUUCUUGCACUAUUUCAAACCUUUUCAUUAUUUGUUAUGGUGAGCUGUGAUGUUACUAUUGUAACACCUAUCCACUGAUGUUACUACUAUAAUUGUUUGGGGGCACCACAAACUGUACCCAUGUCAGAUGACAAACUUAAUCAAUAAAUAUUUGUGUUCUGACUGCUCCAC